UAAAUUAUAAAUACUAAAUAUAAAAUAAAGAAAUUGCAAUAUAUUUUGCUCCAAAAGGAAUUAAUCGCGCUGAGAAGACUCGAAUUUACAAAAAAGAUAAGAAAAAUUAAAGAAAAAAUUAUAAAUCGCGAAGAUUAAAAUAAUGUUAAAAAAGCGAAAAAAUUGCGUUACUUCGAAAAAUCAAAAAGUGCUCAGAAUAAAAAGCUAAAGCUAUCAAGAAGGUACAAGCAUUAUAAGCAACUGUGCAUAAUAAUUAAAAGAUAAUUUAUAUAGUAUUAUACUUGAACAAACUAAAGGAAUGAGAAAUUUAUAUGUAAUUUACUUUUUAAAAUUGCAAAAGAAUACGAGAAAAACUCGAUGCAACUUAUAUUUGAGAUUGAAUCUUGCUUUUUUUCCCUUCCUUUUCAGAUUGCGAAGAACUCAGUAAAGAAUUCUCGCUUCUCUUACAGCACCAUAAAAGUAUUUCUUACUGUUUUUCCGAUAAUCACGCUAAUGGCAAUGAUACCAUCGAGAAUAUGCGAAUAAGAUCACCGCAUCUAGUACCACUGAAAUUACUAUCGCUGUAAUUACUACUGUAGAAAUUACUGCUGAAACACAGUCCCCGCUGCAACUACUAUUCCUAUUUCAUUCGAAUAACUCUGUCUUUCCGUCGCGCAUGUGACACUAGAAAUGCUUCCGAGAUCUGGGAAGAGAAAACAAACUCACGGACAAUGUCGCACGUAGACAACGAAAAUAUGCAAAUUGCUGUAAGCUUUUCUCCGACUUCUCGAGACUACACUUAUUUAACGUAUAUCAUACAUCAGAAUUUUGAUGCGGGAUUUCUCAUGUAAAAAAAGAUACGCAAAUAUAACUUUAAAUCGUUAUAUUUUCUAACUGGUUCCUUGCAAAAAAUAAUGAAUUCGCAUAUAUAAUUAAGAGAACAGAGUAUAAAUAGAAAAUACGACAAAGAGGGAGUACUUAGUACGUUUGUUUCUCGUAUAAAGUAUACGUUUCAGUAUAAUCAAACAUCGGUUUAUAAAAACAAGCAAAGAAUUGUGGUAAGUUUAAAUUCGUAAGUAACAAAAACAGUAUUUUGCAGAAAAGUAAAAAGAGAAUUUAUACGCAGAAUUUAUACUAGAAAAUUUCGAAAUAAUUAAAACUUUUUGAAUACAUUUCCUUUUGUAGAUUAAUUUUGUAUUCUGUACAUUGCGUGAAGAUUACAUUUACAGCACGAUGAAAAUAUUUCCUAAUAUUUUCUUGAUAAUUGUGCUAAUGGCUAUCAUGAUAUCAUCGGGGAUCUGCCAACGCAGACGCGUUCCUCAGAGAUAUCAAUAUUCUCGUUUCAAUAAUAAUAAGGUUUAUAUUACCUCGACAGAUUUGAAUACACGCUCGAAUACAAGAUAUCGGGGCUAAUCGCAGAUUCACAAAUAUAUUCAGAUAUAUCACGAGAUCAAACUCACUAAUUCAAUAAUUUAAUGGAAAAGCGACGAACUAAUUUGAGAAAUAUAUGAAAUAAUAAAAUUCUUUUUUACA